UACCAGAGCCUGUCAUUUUUUUCCUCUUUACAUUUAUAUGACAGUACGGAAUUGUAUAUGCUACAAGAAACAGCUCUUCUGACCUCCUUGGUGGCUGCUCUGUGCACUACCACACAUUACAACUGCACCUUGGUAACCUGGCUUGAAAUCCUACCUCUCUCUGGUUGCUGAGACUGUGCCUUCAAUUGUUUGAGGCAUUACAAUAUGAGUUCUGGAGUUAGAGGGCCUGGGUUCGAAUCCUGGCUUCACCACUUACUAGCUGUGUGGCCUGGGGCAAGGUCACCCCUCUGUGCCUCAGCUUCCUGACCUGGAAGGGCACUUAUCUUUGAGGGGUUGUAAAGGUUAAAUGAGUUAACAGGAGGAAGCACUUAGAACAGUCUGGCAUACAGUAAGUGACCAAACCAACAUUAUUAAUGUGUUAGUCAUAUCACGGAACCAACUUCAGCCCUUGUACAGUCAGCCAUUGUUCUCUUAGAGGAGCUCGGCUUGGGAGACCCGAGGGCACCUUUAACUGGAAUAUUAAAACAGAUGAACCAUAUCAUUCAGUAACCCAUCUACUUUUUAUACAAUCAUCACUUAAAUGGAUAAUGCUGUUCAUUUUCACAAGGUCAGCAGGGGUCAGUACAAAGUCUUCAGCUGCUUUUCCGGACUCGGCCUAGAGGAGGCAGCACGAGAUGGUAGAAAAGGCUGGAAUUUAGGAGCCUGAAGCCCUGCAGUCACUAAUGGGCUGCCUAACCUUGGUAACAACUAGACUUCAGUUUCCUCUUCAGUCAAAUAGCUGAAUUCUAAAGCAUCCAGAGGCAUCUGGCCGUGUCCUCAGUUAAAGAUAUAGCAAAUGUAUGGGAGUACCACAGAUAGGCUAUAUCUGGAGGCAUAUUUAAGAAACUUAAAAAUAGAUGAUGGGAGGAGGAGUCACACAAUACUAUUCUUUCUGUACCUUGUAAAUGAAAAAAAUAUUUUUUUUGAGAAGUGAACUAGUUGGCUAAAAGUAAAUUUUCUUGUAACACCGGAAUAGGCCUUCUGACAGGAAUUGGAAGAAGGUCGUCAGGCCGGCGGCCUCGAGUCCUGGCCCCUUUUCCCUCCGUAGGACCCCCGGUCCGCCGCCGGCUCUCACGCACGGGAGCCUCUUACCCUAGCCAAACCGGCGCACAGACGCCGAAGCUGCUGCGGCCAUCUUAACUACGGGCAAGAGUCUCCCAAGUCGGCCGGCGGAAGAGCGAGAGAAGACGGCUCGAGGGCCGAAUACACCAGGACCUGGGACCACCAAGUUCGCGUAAUGGACCGCUUCUCGCCGUCCUAGAGCGGCCCCACCGAGGCUACUUCCGGCCGCCUGGGACCGGAAGAACCCAGCUCCCCGGAGGCCGAAUCCCGGGCGUCCCUCCCAGCUUGACUUCGUUUCCCGUGAUCCCCGUCAGAUCGGCCUAACAAAUGUACAGCCGAGCCUCUUCGGCCAGACUCUUCCCGUGGCUCCCCAGUCCUUCUGCAAAAAGUUAAGAACCUGUGUACCACAGCGUGAAGGCCCGUGGCAUGCUAACCUCCUCCUCCUCCAGUUCAAACCCAGUCUCUCCCUACAGGCGAUGAUCCCCAUUCGCUCCGUCUACAUGGGAUCUGGUUUUUGGAAGAUAGGCAUCUAACUUAAUAACCCUAAUCCAGUAUCUUUCAGUGAGCUGCAGCUUUUUAUCUUUAUAGCUCUGCCCGAAGGCCUCCCUACUGCGCCCCCCGAGCUAAUAGGUGACGUCUCUCUCCUUUAGUGUAAAUUUAGAGCUUACUGUAAACCUAGAGCAGGAAUCUUAUCUUGGUUCACGAACGUCUCCGCACCUACAAACAGUGCCUGCCACACGGGAGAUACCCAAUAUAUUUUUCUGGAAUGCUGAGAACAAACUGAGGGCUGAUGGGAGUG